GACGAACGCUGGCGGCGUGCUUAACACAUGCAAGUCGAACGGAAAGGCCCUGCUUUUGUGGGGUGCUCGUGUGGCGCACGGGUGCGUCACACGUGUGUACCCUGCCCUUGACUUUGGGAUGACUUCAGGACUCUGUGGCUAAUACCGGAUAAGCGCUCCUGCUGCAUGGUGUGGGUUGGAAAGUUUCGGCGGUUGGGGACUGACUCGCGGCUUAUCAGCUGGUUGGUGGGGUAGUGGCUUACCCAGCGUGUGACGGUUAGCCGGCCUGAGAGGGUGACCGGCAACAUUGGGACGGAGGUAGGCCCCAGACACUGACGGGGGGCAGCAGGGGGAAUUAUGGAACAAUGGGGGGAAGCCUGAUGAAGGAAGGCGGGGGGCGGGAGGACGGCCUUCGGGUUUUAAACCGCUUUGGCCGGUAACGAGGCGUGCGUGACGGUAAUUGGUAAAGAAGCACCGGCUAACUACGUG
rnacentral:rRNA from 1 species